AUCUCCUUUUUAUAACACAGUCAUAAUAUUGCACAUAACUAAAGAUUUUUUCUUUGUCCUAUUUUCUUCUUUGGUUGUGAUUUGACCUCAUCUUUUACAUUUGAGGUGUUUUGUUAUGCUGUGUCUUCUGUUCCUACUGUAACUUAUAACUACAUUACAGAAUCACAACAACCAAUAUCGGAGGCUUACAAUCUUGAGUUACUUUGGGUUCAGCCAUUUAAUCUGGAUCCAUCUUGUGCACUACACUGUGCCUCACCACAGAUGGCGCUAUUCCAUAACAUCCUCCUUUGUUUAUAAAACAAGAGAAUUUUAGAUGCAUUGACAAGAUUAAACAUCUUCAUUUUAACUGAGUCCAUUCCGUAUUAACUGAGUCUGUUUGCCACUUUUCAUUCAGUCCAUUUUCGACUUUCAUAAAUGAAUCCUGCUGCUUCCCAAGAUGAUACUUGAACAAGUGAUCAUUAUGAUGUCUGUCCAUACUGGGUGUCAAUUAGCAAAGCCAUUUACUUUUUCCUCUCAUCCAGUUAAUCUAGUGGGAUUUGUUGUAACUGGAGGUUGCGCUCCGCGAUGCCCUCAGUACCUCUGCUGGUGGUUCAAACCUGUAACAGGGCUCCGAUGCUGCCAUCUUGAUUGUCAUGAUGGAGCUGAGCAUUCCAUCUAAGUGGAGGGCAUUCCUGGUCUCUGUCUUGUUUAGACCGAUGGACGAAAAAACCCUCUCAGCAUCAGCAUUGCUGUGGGGAAGACAGAGCACCAGCUGAGCCACCUUAGCGAGCCUCAAGAACCUCGGCUGCCCCGUUACCUCGUUCUUCAGCGAAGAAAGGUGGACCCAGAGCUUGUCAAUUCUAAGAAAUUCAGCUUCUGCAUCUGUAGAAGUAAACUCCUUUCACUGCUUGAAAGACACCUCAUACAUCAUCUGAUAGUCAGUAAACUCUUCUUGCACCUUGUCCUGAUCUCGUGGACUAUUAAAGGGCAGUAGAUGCUGGAACCUAAAAUAAAAAAGAAAUGAAACGCAAAAAAAAAACCUGAAACAAAAAUACACCUCUUUAUUAUUGCCUAUUAGCAUUAUUAUGAGAGAUAAAAAUGCACAUUCUGAAAAUGUAUUUGUUUUAUUUUGCAAUGAAAUCUCAGAUCUGAAGUAACAAUAUCUCAAGAUUCAAAUCAUAGACUGAUUUGAUUUAAAAUUAAAGACUAAGACAGGCAUCUCUGCAUUUUUGAUAUGGCAAUAUUGACAUACCUGUCAAUGAAGAAGAGCACAUCAUCAAUUGACGCUUCCAUCUUCUGGUGCCAGUCAACGAAGGUAGCAUGUUGUAGGACCGGCUCAUCAAGGGGGAGACGUGAGAGGGCGUAUGAAACUGCCUCACAGAAGAAGCUCCUUACACCACCAAGGAACUUUUUAACCUGCGUUUCACUAAUGUCGCCACCUUCCAACAGUCAGUUUAAUGUCCCGCGAGUAGUAUGAAUUUCAAUAUUUCAAGACAAGAGUUUAAACUCACCUGUACCGGCUGAAGCCUGAAGUACUGUACCAUAUGGCCGAUCUGGUCGUAGAGGGCUAAAGAGGACGGCCCAGGCCCAUUAUCCGAUCGCAAACACUGAGCCACCCGGGCCGGGCCGGGCUGGGGGUCGGGCGCGAUGUACAGCGAUGACAGGCCAUGGCAUCGACACUCGCUUGUCAUGUCUCGCACAAAAAAAAACCUCGCUUCAUAGUAAAGUGACAACGUCACUCGCACACGCAGGAUAAGCCAAUCGCAAUUCACUAUCUUGUCUUUGCGCGGCAAACCGAAACCAAUUUGCAUUGAUGGAUUAGCUUUGCGCAUGUGUGGUUCAAAACAUGUUGAAACUUUCGGCAGGGAUAUUGAAUAUCCUAUAUAAUAGACAUUCUUUUUUUUUAGUUUCUAUUUUCGGGGUUCAGCGUGAGAAUUCCUAUGAUCAGCGUGAGAGCGUGAGAAUUGGGUGAAUUGCGUGAGACUCACGCAGAUUGCGUGAGAGUUGGCAGCCCUGUGUUUUGAUAUGCUGUGUCUUCUGUUCCUACUGUAACUUAUAACUACAUUACAGAAUCACAACAAGCAAUAUCGGAGGCUUACAAUCUUGAGUUACUUUGGGUUUAGCCAUUUAAUCUGGAUCCAUUUUGUGCACUACACUGUGCCUCGCCACAGAUGGCGCUAUUCCAUAACAUGAGGAACUUGUUUUCUUAUCCUUGUUCCAUUUUCCACUUUUCUUAGUUUCAGUGUUUCUUUGUUGUUAGGUAUGAGGGUCAGUAAGAUUCUCGUAGCUCUUAGCAUCGGUAUUAAGAUCUUGGUAGGUUUGUGCCUUUGUGCCUCUGUGUGUCAACACAUAGCCAUCAGUAAUUCUUGCUCCUACAUGGAGACUUUCAAGUCUUUGUUCUUCAAGAUAUAUUUGAACAUCCAUACACAUGCUCAGUGUUUCUUCGUUGUUAGGUAUGAGGGUCCGUAAGAUUCUCGUAGCUCUUAGCAUCGGUAUUAAGAUCUUGGUAGGUUUGUGCCUCUGUGUGUCAACACAUUCUUCUUAAACGCACAUCUUUUCGUUGAAGUAUCUAGCACUCAGGGAAAAUUGUUCCACGUUCGACACAUCGGUUGUUUCGUCUGCCAAUAUG